rnacentral:rRNA from 1 species
UACAGAGGUCUCAAGCGUUGUUCGGAUUCAUUGGGCGUAAAGGGUGCGUAGGCGGCGCGGUAAGUCGGGUGUGAAAUCUCGGAGCUUAACUCCGAAACUGCAUUCGAAACUGCAGGACUUGAGGCUGGGAGGGGCUGGUGGAAUUCCCUGUGUAGCGGUGAAAUGCGUAGAGAUGGGGGAGAACACUCGUGGCGAAGGCGGCCAGCUAGACCAGUUCUGACACUGAGGCGCGACAGCGUGGGGAGCAAACAGG